AAGUCGUAACAAGGUCUCCGUUGGUGAACCAGCGGAGGGAUCAUUACUGAGUGUAAAAACUCCCAAACCCAUUGUGAACAUACCUCUGUUGCUUCGGCGGAUGCGCCCCGGGCGCGCCCUCACAGGCGUGCCCCGGACCAAGGCGCCCGCCGGGGAACCGAAACUCUUGUUUUCUUAGAGAAUCUCUGAGUGUGAUUAUAAAUCAAAUCAAAACUUUCAACAACGGAUCUCUUGGCUCUA
rnacentral:misc_RNA from 1 species